CCAUGUGUGUUCUUGCUCAUAUUCACAAUUAUAAAGAGAUUUUCAGUUAAAAUAUCACACAGCUGUAAGAUAUCACAGGUUUGAAAGCAUUCCUUGAAUCUCUCUCUGCCCCCCCCCCAAAGUCAUAUAAUGAAAAAGAGUCAAAGAAACAUAUAAUAUUGUUGAAAUGUGCAGAACACUGUAGGGGCAAAAGAAGUGUGUGACUGAAUAGGCCCUGUCUCUGAUGUGGUUCUGAAGGAAUGAUCAUAGAAAUGACUCCAGCUCCAUUAAAACUGCAGGGAGUGUCAGCACUGAUUUCUAGUGGGGAGGGGAGGGGAGGGGAAUCCAAAGAACACCAAGCAUGUGUAGAAAGCAUGUGCAGGGGGGAGGCACAGAUUUUCCUUGUACAUAAAACCUCUGUGCAAUAAUCCAAAAGAGUCCAGGUAACCCUCCCUAGAGAUGUAAAGGAAUGCAGCAGAAAAGGGACCAGAAAAAGCGUAAUGCACUAAACACCACUCAUGGUUCUUUGAAUCCCAGCCAUGUGCUUCAGAGGGGUAUUCCACAAAACCAAUCCACUACAUUAAAGCUAAUGCAAAAUUCAAAAUCAAAAUUGUUAUCUUUCAAAUAAGAAAUACAGACUAGGAGAUUGUGGUUGUAAGUGAGUUGAGAGUAGCAACAAACACCAUUAGGUCUAAAGCCAUCCAAGCUAUGAACCUCAUAAAUAUAUGAUUCCAGAACAUAUUCAAAGUAUCCAGUGGAGUUGACUGAAUAUUCUGAUGAAGAUGAAAGCCAGACUCAAGAAAGUAUUUGGAGAUAAUUCAGUGAUUUAUUUAAGGGAGAUGGACAGCUAAGUGGAGCUUAUAAAACAGAGAUAGACACAAAGUGUGAAGCUGGUUAAAUUACCUAACAGGAAAGUACCAGUAGCUUUAUAACAGCCUCUGAAAGCAGUGUUUCAAAGUUUACAAAGGCAGGAAAUUUUACAACCAGUAGAAAAGAAUGGAAUAGAUAAAUAGUCUGGUGGUGAUCAGAAAACUAUUGGGGAAACUCAGAAAGUGCACAGAUUCAAAACUCUUAAAUAAAAUAGUGAAAAGAAGCCACUUUCCCUUACCUGCAACUAUAGAAUAUCUAUCAAAAGCAACAUUCUUCGCCAUCGGCAUAAAAAAUGGAUUCUGGAAUAUUAAGCAAGGUGAACAAUCCAUUUUCUUUUUUCGUUUUCAUUUUUACAUUUGCUACACUCUUUGGGAGAAACUGCUGACUAAAGAUGGCAAUAUUGGUCCUGGCUCUGAGAUAUUUCAAAAUAGUUUAAUACAAGGCUUGGAGGUCCUCAAAAACCACAGUUUCUCGCAAUGUCCAAAGGAGGGGAACGGUGGUUUGUUUAAACUAUGGUUCAUGAGAACAAGCCAGCUUCCAGCUGUUUCAGAUCCUCACUUGUUCUCAAACACAGUUCAAGCACAGUCCCCCAAGUUCAGAAAUGGCAUGCAAAAGAGGGGGUGAAAAGCAUGUAAGCCUUUGUCUUGCUACUGCUCUUUCUCAUAGUGGGAAAUCAGGGUUUCCCAUUAUGUCUGAACUGGAAGUAAGGCCUAUUGAUUUCAACUUCCACAUAAGGCUGCUCUGGACUGGAACCAUUCUCAAAAGUUACAGAAUAAUGCACACUGCCCUGACAACUGUCUUCCUAGGAGGAAGGAUGGCUUUGUCUUUUACUAGACUAGCUAUCCAGAGGUGUUUAAGGAUCAAGUUGUAUCUCUGAAAAUUCUGGACCCCGCACGCCAGCAAUAAAAGAAUGUACAGCAAAAUACAGCUCCAGCUGGGGAAUAAAAAACAGACAUACUUGAGGGCAUGAAAUCAAAUGUAUCACUGCCUUGCCAUGGAGAAGGGGCUUGAAUAACUCAGAAAAGCUAUGAGCUAUGCCGUGUAGGGCCACCCAAGAUGGACAGGUCAUAGUGGAGAGUUUUGACCAAACAUGAUCCACCUGGAGCAGGAACCGGCAAGUCACUCCAGUAUCCCUGCCAAGAAAACCCCAUGGACAAAGACAACAGGCAUAUAAAAGUUAUGAGGCAGUGGAAGACAGGAGUGCCUGGCGUGCUCUGGUCCACGGGGUCACGAAGAGUCGGACACAACUAAACGACUAAACAACAAACAAAUAAAUAUAUAUUUUUAGCAUAUUACAUAUUUCUAAAGGUAUAGGCAGAAACUUUUCAAGAGUGUUUAAUUUAUUUUCUUACAUUUAUCUCCUGCCAUGCCUCAACCAUGGAGCCCAAGAUGGCAUACAUGGGAUUCCCAGAUGGUCACUAUCCAAGCCCUGCCAAGAAACAGCCGUGCUUAGCUUCAACAAUAUGGUGGCCCUAUGUGCCUUUAGACCAUAUCUGUAUAAUCAUACUUCCAAUUUUAUGUUAUUGAUACAAAAAAAGGCAAGGAUAAACAAGAGCAAUUCUUAUCCAGGAGUACAACUCCAGAAGAACAUAAAUAUGAUCUGUUAUUACCAGUAAAAGGAUACCUUUCAGGGUAGAUAAAAUAAGCCACGUGUUCUAAGGUAACCCCCAUCUAACAAAAUUAUGACCUUGCUAUAUUUAUACACAUGGGUGCAGUUUUCAUGCACUAUUAUAGUCCCAUAUUAUAUAUCUUUAAAUCAUGCUGCGAAAGUUUCUGCCUUCCCCAAAUGCCUCCUCUAAUUUAGGAUGAACAACUGCUCUCAUAAAGAAAAACUGCUGCUGCUGCUGUUUAUUGGACUGAGAAAGGUCUCGCUGACUAAUGUCCCAGGAUUAAAUGAAUGUGGAAUAAUAAGAGCUGAUUUAUUUGUGCUCUGGUAGGAUAAAGCUGCCACUGAUUUUACAAGAAACUAUUCAUCUGAGGGCUACUAUAGCUAGUAAAUUGUGGCUGUUGCUGAAAAUAGUCUCUAGGCCUUCGUGUAAUCUAUGGGGUAGCUGUGUCAUAAUAAAGCCAUUGUGGGUGUUUGGUGUGUUUAAAAGGCCCCGCUUUUAUUCCUGCCCUGUGGAAUUCUAAAAAUUAACCUAAGGUUUCUCCUGGAAAUUCUGAUGGCUUCUGCUCUCAGCCUACAAUUUUACAUCAGGAAACAGAAAAACAAAAAAACAAAAAUAGCUGUUGAUAAAAUAGAGCUGAGGAUAUAUGAGGCCUAAGGCUUGUUUUUGUUUUGUUUUUAUUCUCCCUAGAGGAAAAAUGCCCAUCGCUCAGUGAUAUAGCACUGUGGAAUGCACCCAGAAGUCCCCAGGCCUCUCCAGUUGAAACAAUCUAAUAUUUACACUGGUAGCCAUAGGUAACAAGCAGUUCCAUGCAAGAAAGUGAGCACUGCAGGUUGGAGGAUGAUGGUGACAGAUGACAGAUGGAGCUCUCUGUCUCUCUUCUGCAUCCAGAAACUAUGAGGGCUUCCAGAGGCAGGAAGGCACUCAUCUGUGUUGAGCACUGAAAUUCAGCAGCUUUCCCGUUCUCUUCUGCCAGCCUCUAGCAGGCUAGUAACUUUUGUGAGCUUAUUUACAAGGCUAAGUUAAAGGUUCACAGGCAACGGGGCAUGGACAGCUGCUCACAGUAAGAGUAGACUUUGGGCUGGGUGUCCUAGAUGUGCCUUGGUUUAAUGACAAAGUCUUUGUAUAAUGCAGCUUCUUGUGGAUCUAGUACAGCACCACACACAGGAAUUCUAAAUCUUUAUUUAUUAAUGUCUUCAGUACUAUCAUAAAAAGGUAAAGGUAAAGGUACCCCUGACCAACUGGUCCAGUUGUGACCGACUCUGGGGUUGCGUGCUCAUCUCGCUCAAGAAGCCGGGAGCCGGCGCUUGUCUGAAGACAGCUUCCGGGUCACGUGGCCAGCAUGACUAAGCCACUUCUGGCGAGCCAGCACCAGCGCAGCACACGGAAACGCCGUUUACCUUCCUGCUGGAGAGCGGUCCCUAUUUAUCUACUCGCACUUUGAGUUGCUUUCGAACUGCUAGGUGGGCAGGAGCUGGGACCGAGCAACGGGAGCUCACCCCGUAGCGGGGAUUCGAGCCACCGACCUUUCGAUCAGCAAGUCCUAGGCUCUGUGGUUUAACCCACAGCGCCACCCGCGUCCCUCAGUACUAUCAUAGAUAACCCUAAACUUUUGGAAAGGCUUAGUCUAGGCUGGAGUGGGGUGUUGCUUGUUUGUUGUUGAAUUAGUCCAUCUUGCCAUAUGAACACAAGAAGAUGGUUUCAUGGGAACUGGGGUAACUCAGUUAUCUCUUCUUGCCAACUACUGCUACUGUUUGCCAACUAUUUAGAAGUUUAGUUGAACCAUAUUUUGAAUGUUUUCCUGUUAUGGUAUCUGUCUUAUCCCUAGUUUCUGGAUAACUACUUACCUACCUAGAUAAAGGCUAAGCAGAUAUGACCAUAUUAACCCAUUUGUUCUGGACAGGGCAUUUAAUUGUCAUAUUGAUACAUACCAUGCGGAUAAGGUACAAGCCCAAGGCAUAGUAUCUGACUUCAGAUUUCUCCUUCCUCUCACCAGUGACUCUGGGCCAUGGUAGAGGGAAAAGAAUCUAUGUGAAGAAACACUAAAUGGGUGUUCACACCAGGAUGCUCCCACCCUAGGUUUUUAAAGCCAGAUUUGACAUGACAUUAGCCACAAUCCACCUGUACCCGGUUGAUUUUAGAGAAAUACUUUUCUUUAGUGUACUUUUCCUUAAGCUAGUUUCCAUGUGAUCCAAAAAUGGAAGCCACCAUUCUGCUGUAGCGCAAACAGUUCAACUAAUGUCGUAUACAGAUGAAGCUUCAGCAACUUGGGGAAAGAAAUAAUUGAGUGAAAACAUCCCCACCUCUGUUCUGAUAGGAACAGUAGCAGGAGAAAGCCACUUGCAAAUGCAGAGUGAGAGGUACCUCACAGUGCUUCAAGCCACUAGCUUGAAUACCACCACAGUACAGUGAUGCCCCGCAAGACGAAUGCCUUGCAAGACGAAAAACUCGCUAGACGAAAGGGUUUUCCAUUUUUUGAGCUGCUUCGCAAGACGAAUUUCCCUAUGGGCUUGCUUCGCAAGACGAAAAACGAAAACGUCUUGCAAGUUUGUUGCCUUGUUCAUAACACCGUUAAUACAGUUGCGACUUGACUUCGAGGAGCAACUCAUAGAACGCGGUGUGGUAGCCCUUUUUGAGGUUUUUGAAGACUUUGGUGAUUUUUGAAGCUUUCCCAAAACUUCUUUUAAAGUUUCAAAACUUUUGGGGGGUUUUUGGAUUUUGGGUUGGGGUGUUUGGAAUUCAAGGACUUGGUGUUGGGGAGGGGUUUGCAAGAAUCUGGAAGCUUGUUUUUCUGCAUUUUUAUGAUUUUCUGUGACCAUUGGGCCACUCUGCUGUUUUUUUUUAAAAAAAUCUGGAUUUGAAUUUCUGUGUGGUGGGUGGCUGGGGGAACAGUUGAGGAGGGGUUUGCAAGAAUCUGGAAGUUUGUGUGGUUUUUUUCUGCAUUUUUAUGAUUUUCUGUGACCAUUGGGCCACUCUGCUGUUUUUUAAAAAAAAUUUCUGGAUUUGAAUUUCUGUGUGGUGGGUGGCUGGGGGAACAGUUGAGGAGGGGGUUCUUCAGCAAGAAGCAAAGAGUGGAAGAGGAACCUUCUUCAAGUUGUCCCCCAGAGUCUUAGAAAAUGUACUGUACACUUUGUUGAUUUUUAAAUGUUUUUCUGUCAUGUUUAGAAACUUAAUUUAUUGUUCCUUCAAUUUUUGAAAUGCUCUUUACAGUAUGUGUGACUUUAAAGAGCACUUAAUAAACUCUUGUUGUACCAAAUUUGGCUUUGUUUGGACUUUUUUUGACCAUAGGAACGCAUUAAUUGAAUUUCAAUGCAUUCCUAUGGGAUUUCGUGCUUCGCAAGACGAAAAAUUCACUAGACGAAAAAACUCACGGAACGAAUUAAUUUCGUCUUGCGAGGCACCACUGUAUAUUAUCUCCAUAUAGGAGAACGGGUGAACAGUGUGAAUAGAACAAGCCACAUGUUGAGUGUUCUUCAAGGUGCACUUCUCACAGCACAGGAAGCACAUGGGGGGUUUUUGCACAGGAAAUGAUCUCCAUGAAGCAAAUGUGUAAUGGUGACAACAUCAAUAGGCAAUUUAAUAUAUCGAAUAAGUAACUGCUGGUGAAUCUUAUCCAUGAAAUGUAUUGCACUUCACUCUAUGUUUUGUGGUGUUUUUUGUUUUUGCUGUUCUUAAAUGAAAGGUUAUUACCCUUUUAUUUUUAUAUAAUGUUUUAUAAUUGAGUUCUCUGGCUUGCAGGUUCAGGAGCCCCAUCUCCAAUUUUAGCUAUAGUCAGUCUCCUCUAGACAUUAUAAACAUUUCUUGUAGUGUUUAUUUAAUGGAUUCAGAGAGGAGUCCCACCGGGAAGGCCUAUUGUCAAAAUAAUACCACAGCUUUAAGUUCCUAUUAAAGACUGUGUGAACCAGGCAGUCAGAUUGCUACAUCACUGAUAAUUGUUGGAAACUUACCAAAGCCACUGAGAUAUCCAGGUCUUCACACUCUUGAGGCAUAAAAGAAAGAUUAAACUGCAAGAAACCAGUAUUUUUCUGGGGCUGUUAGGCAAGCAUUAAAAAAAGAACCUUACCACGCCACCUGUUUCCAUACAUUUUCCAAAAUGUUUUACAUAAACUUCUCAAAUAGCUAGAUAUACCUAUGACUAAUCAUCACAAAAAGGGAUUAAACACAGCAAAAAAAGGGAUGUUUGUUAGUCUGAGAAAGUAUACCUACAUCUUUCCUUUAUUAGUGGUGGAAAACUCCAAAUUGGUGGGAGGAAACUCAUCACAUGGGAGCUUUGCUUAUAAGCUAACAGUAUUUAGUGAUUUUGUUGUGGCUGUGGCAGGGAAGGGGCUGAAAAAGUCCCCAUCCUGAUCCCAUCCCCUGUCUCCUAUCUAGAGCUGGGGGAAUUGCAGAAUUUGGUGCAUUUUGCAACAUGUCAAGUUUGGCCUUAAAUAAUCAGAGGUUAGUUUCUAAACCAAAAAAGGUGCUAGGUUUCAAGUAGGCAAGUUGUGUAGAAGACUUCCUACUUCUAAGUAAUUGCAGGGGCUGGCUGUGAUUACUCAAUGAGGAAGGAAAGAUGCUUUGCACAUGCUCAGAGAUAUAAUUUGCUUUCUUACGUCAUGCUCUUAAACAGGCUUUGAAAGGAAAAGUGUGCAGACCCCUCAACAUAUCAUGCAAGUUCUCCAAAGGAGAAAUAUAACGGAAGCAGAACAAGGAAUUGUCACCCAUUAGCUAAUUGGUGGAUAGAAAAACCAUCUGCUUUUCAGAGACUGGGAGCAUUUAUUUGUGAAAACUAGAUAACUUGUCGUGCAGCGGUAAAUUAAUCAAGCAGAGUCUUCUUCAUAAACAGAAUAAAACUUUACUGGAGAAAAUAAACUUGUUCAUAAACAGCAUAGUUAAAGAGCACACACAGGAUUGCUCAUAGCAGCUGUCUUAGUCUUCACAGAGGCACAGAUCUUAAUUACUGAUUAACUGGGGUCUGCAACAACGCACUCAAAUACUCAGAGAGAGACUCUACAUUACAGGCUGAGGCCCAGAGAGAAAAUGGCUACUUUUUAUAGGGAACCCAGGAUGAGUGAGGAGUCACAGGGACUUGGCAGUUUACUGCUAGCAGGCUUGAAAUGGCUGCGCAGGCCUUGUAGGCCUCCCUGCCUUACUGCUUCUGCCCUUUGCCUCACGACAUAACUCUUCUGCCUGCCACUUGUAGAGCAGAUAGAGAACAAACGCUUAUCCAGACAUUGCAAUAUGUUCAGAAACUGUCUGGGCAGAAAUCGCUGAAAUAGGUGGUGGAAGAAGAUUGGGAGAAAUUUAAAGAUUAUUUACAGAAAUAUUGCAAAAUUAAUGAAUGUUAGAGUGAUGUUGGAUUGAAGUUAACUGGCUUCUAGCUGUACAGGCUUUAAAGUUAUAAAUAUAUCAAGAUUAAGGAUUAGGAUUAAAAAUGUUAAAAGAAUGGAAAAUUGGUUUUUAAUAGGUAAAAACUUAAUGUUACAAUAUAUUAAGAUUAAGGAUUGGGAUUAAAAAGGAGGGAAAGAAAUUGCUGGAUUAACAAACUGAAUUGGAAUACAAAAGAGGGAGGUAUGAGGAAGUCUGGGAAACAAGUAAAUGUAAAAGAAGUUAUGAAAAGAACGGAAUUGUUUUUAACUGUUUUUUCUUUUAUCUUUUUGUAUUUUGUAUUUUGUAUUGUGUAUUUUUCUUUUUUCUUUUUAAAUUUUUCUUUUUUAUCAAUGUGAUUCUAUUUUUUGUGAAACUUCAAUAAAUAUUAAUUAAAAAAAAAGAAAAAAAGAAAUCGCUGAAAUGUCCAAGAGAAUCUGGACGCAUGGUAAGCCAUGUCGGAAGUCUAGAAAUUUCUUUAAAAUAGCUCAAAAACUUCUUCUCAACAACUUUUGUGACCAGAUUUUCACUUUUUGAAAUAUGGCAACACUAUGUUAAGCAUGCUUUUAAAAACGCUGGCCACUUGCUGGAACUGCCAGCGUGGGGGACCCCAGCCCAAAUCCACCUGGGGGGCUGGAGAGGGACAGUUUUAACCCUUUCCUUCCCACACCAGUUUCUUGACACCCCCCCCCCAAGCUGCUAUUUGCCAUUAGACACUGGAUACUGGACACAUGCAUAAAGUUGGCUGAAGAAAGGAAGGUUGAAGGAGCUAGCACAUCCCCCAUUCUGGCCCUCAAUGCCCUUCCUAGAGCAUAUCCCACACUGUCCCUUUUCUAGGGCUUCAUUUCAUUUCAUUUCCACUGGAUGGGAUGUGUACAUAGACGACUACAUAAAGAUUAGAGUCAUAUCCAUGAAGUCCCUGGCAUGCAACUCCUGGAAAAUUGCCCACAGGGGAAUGCAGCCCUCGAGCUGAAAAAGAUUACCCACCUCUCCCAUGAAGAACCACCGAGGAAGGAAAAUUCAAACAUGCAUAUUUUAAUUUCUUGAGAGCCAUGUGGUUUGAGGCUAAGUUGCUACUCAAUAAACUACUAAGGGUGUAUUGUUGCCUGAAUCUAACCCUCAGAGAUAUUCAAAUAAAGGAGUAAUCCAUUUCUAGGAUUGGCCUUCCUCAGAGGCAACUAAUGGAAUGAUCGAAACUAAAUGGCCUCCCCUGCCGUUUAUUAGCCCCUGGUACAGAGUUUAUAUACUGUAGGCUGCCAAACAUUCAUUUUUCUCAUCACUUUCACUGAUUUUUUCAAGGAUAUUUGUAUGGAUUAAUGGAAGCGCUUUUAUAUGUGAACAAAAAGGACAGAUGCUCACAUUAAUGCUUUUGUGUAAAUCUGGUAAUGCUUACACAGGUAAUGGAUGCAUAUUCCAUUCAGAUUGGCUGGGACCACUUCUAUUCAUUUUCUUUUACAAUGUCUGUGUACUAAAGAGAACCCUUCCUGGAUUCAAGCAGACCACAUUAUACUUUUAAUGAUAAAUUACUGGUGCUUUUCUUCACAGCUGUAUGCCCUUUCUCCAAACAAAUAAACAAAACAAAAAGCUGUAAAUAAUAAAACUUAGAAUGUCCCACUAUUUUAAUUUGGUUGUUAUGUUGAUAACCAUUUUUAAUUUAAAAAUAUGAGCUUAAAAGACACAUAACUACACAUUUUGUAGUUUAUAAUUAAUGGGAAAGUUCCUUUUGACUCAAGAACUAAAAAUAUUCAUUUUGCAACCUAGAGAGAUUAAGGUUACAAAUGCUGAUGGGAGAUACAGACAAAAUCUUACUGCUACCCUCCUGCAUAGGUUGAUGAUAGCCUCUUCGUACAAUCCUAGGGAAAUGACCAGAACACAAGCAAAGUAUUUCUGAACUAACUAAACGUACACUCUGUAAGCCUUUUAGAUGUUCUUGAAAUAUCUGAUGAAAUUUUCUCCCCUUGCACAAUAGGCUUUUGUAGAAUUUCUUAUUAGUGAGGGCCUGAAGCCUGCCUGCAUUAAACAUUAAUCCUUCGCAUAAUGAAACUGUGAGAAUGGAUUUCUAUGAAAUUUCACACAUUUGUUAGUCUGGUAAGGAAGAUGUUCAUUUUCAUGUCUGGCUCUCCAAGGUUUUCCAACUUAAGAUAAAAAUACCUUUAAAAUCUUGACUAGAUGCUCCAUAAGGGGAAGCAUUCAUCUGUGGGUCUCAGUGCUUCAGCUAUGAAGUGCUGAAAAUAAAACACUAUAUCCAGAAAAUGUUAGCAUUUGAGAGCUCCAUAUUUCUUGUGUAGACAUAUUGAGCUUUAUGCUGGUGAAAAGGGACUGUGCAUGAAUACAAUCCAGCCAAAGUUAAGCAUGUUUAAGUCCUGUUGAUUGCAAUAGGAGAGUUAACUGCGUGCUUAAGACUCUCGUUGAAAUCAAUGGGUCUUACAAGCACCAACUGGAUUGUGCCUAAUGUUUGGGAAAUUCUAAUUAAGCUCCUUUCAUUAGGCACAUUUGGGGAAAGACACAGGGCUUGGGGGUGAGGCCUGAACCCCCAUUACUGUUGUUCUUCAGGGAGCUGUGCAUAUGGCAGCUUUAGUUCCAUCAAGCAAUUGGGAUGUGGUUGGGAUGAGAGCCAGUGUGGUGUAGUGGUUAAGAGCAGUAGUCUCGUAAUCUGGGAAACCGGGUUUGCGUCUCCGCUCCUCCACAUGCAGCUGCUGGGUGACCUUGGGCCAGUCACACUUCUUUGAAGUCUCUCAGCCUCACUCACCUCACAGAGUGUUUGUUGUGGGGGAGGAAGGGAAAGGAGAAUGUUAGCCGCUUUGAGACUCCUUAAAGGGAGUGAAAGGCGGGAUAUAAAAUCCAAACUCUUCUUCCAAACUCUUCUUCUUCCUUGGUGUUAAGAUUCCGGCUCCCUUGCUUGCUCAGCCAGUGCUAGCCAGGCUCAAUGAAAGGUGGCUUCCAGGCAUAGAACCGACUGGUUGUUCCCAAGUUAAGUUAAAAUUCCGUAACUGCAUUUUUGGAGUUUAAAAUCUGAGUGCUGCUAAGACUAUCAGACAAGUGAGGUCGGGAUAAGGUAGCUAAUUUAAGUAUGUAAUAAUGCAGCCUUUGCCAACCUGGCACCCUCCAGACAUUUUGGACUCCAAUUUGGAGGCUUGGGCUUCUUUUGGAUAGGUGUGAUUGGUGCUUUCCAUCCUUUGACCCUCUCUAUCUACAAAAGUGCAGCAUUAGGCAAUUGCCUAGCAUUGCUACAUGGGAGCAGUUACAUUAUGGCAGCCUUUGCCAACCAGGUGACCUGCAGAUAAUUUUGGACUUCAACUCCCAUCAGCACCAGACAGCCUGGCUAGUAGUCAGGGGUGAUGGGAGUUGUAGUCCUAAACAUCUGAAUGGCAUAACCCUGGUUCAGGUCAAACCCCCAGACCUAAGCUGUGCAAUGACCAGGAAGUGCAAACAUCAAAAUAAGUCAAUUGUCCAGUUCCCAAUUUAAGCUACCACACACCCACUUCCAAGAAUGCCAGUUCCACAUUCUCUGAAACAUAAAAUUAGCAGCCACAUGAUUCUAAAACAGAGGUUAUAAUAAGACCAUAAAUUUUAUAAAAAUGAACAUCACUGGCAAAAUGCCUCUUUAGGAAAACCUUAGACCAGAAUAAUACUAGAAUAGGAAAAUAUUCUGCUUGCAAUUGCAAAGUAUAACAGCCUUCUGCUGAAGCAUCUCAUUCUAAAUGAGAAAAUUAGAAAUGGAAACCAAAAGCUUUUGAUACAUAAAGACAAAGAAGAUGUCAGCAUGGGUUUGUGUUGAUCUGAUGAAAGAUUUCAAAGACGUUUUCCCUGAAGAUAUAGAGAAAAUUUCAAAAUGCAGGGAUAAUAGACAAAAAUAAAAUUAGGCGGAGCAGCACAGUAAGCUAAAGUCAUCUCUGUUAUAAGCCACCUGCUCCAACCUGCUGUUUCCCUUAAAAAAAGGCAGAUUUGUCUUAGCUCUGUUUAGUUUUGCUGUGAGCAUCUACAGUCACCCAUGAAAGAGGUCAGGCUGUGAAGAAAAAACAGCAGUUUUCUUCUGCCCUUAAACACUUUCUGGACCCACUUCAAAAAACAGAAAGUAGCCAUUACUGUUUAAACAUAUAAGACGUCACGAUUCAUGACACCAACAUAUUUUCAAUAUUGCAUCACUUUCCAUGUCUGGCUGUAAUUUUCUUCCAGCCCAUCCUCAAAAGGUUUAGCUCUCCAUCCACCAUGUGCAAAAUGUCAAGCCAUGUGGACCGGCAUUUUGUAUGGUUGCUCUACAUGAAACUCCUUUUCUCCAAGGAGUGCUUUAAAAGUUCAAGCCCGAGUGUCUUCCAGAUACAACAAUCUUUUUUAUUUAACAACAUUGCUUGGACCAAAGGUGGGUUAGGGGAGGAAAUACCUAUGGUUUCCUCAGCAGUGACAGCACUUACUAUGGGAGCCAAGCUCUGUACGCGUGUGCAUGGCCACUAUGUUAGAUUUCCCCAUGAUACAGUGUCCAAUAGCAAUACCAGUUGAUGGGACUCACACAUUGGGAAUGCUUUGUUGCACUUAGGUCCUGCUUGCAGUCUUCCCACAGGCAUCUCGUUGGCCUCUGUGAGAACAGGAUGCUGGCCUAGAUGGGCCUUUGGCCUGAGCCAGCAGGACUCUUCCAACAACAACAACAACAACAAGAAGAAGAGUUUGGAUUUGAUAUCCCGCCUUUCACUCCCUUUAAGGAGUCUCAAAGCGGCUAACAUUCUCUUUUCCCUUCCUCCCCCACAACAAACACUAUGUUAGGUGAGUGAGGCUGAGAGACUUCAAAGAAGUGUGACUGGCCCAAGGUCACCCAGCAGCUGCAUGUGGAGGAGCAGGGAAUCAAACCCAGUUCCCCAGAUUACAAGUCCUCCGCUCUUAACCACUACACCACACCGGCUCCCAGCAUUUCUUAAGAUAUGCUGCACCUCAGAGAUCAAAACAUCUGAUUCCAUCUGGUAUGCCAGUUCUCUGCUAGAACCUUUGAAAAUCAGCAACUUAAUCAACCACAAAAGCAGAAGCAUCAGUUGUCUCUAGGAUGCCCAUCUAUGGUCAUAUUUUAUUUUUAUUUACUUUUUAAAAAAAAUCUUACUGUGUUUUAUGUAUUCAUUUUCAUUUAUUGUCAGCCAUUUUGUAGGCCUGUUGUUAGACAUAGAGGAGGAAUAUAAAUAGUUUGCAUAAAUGAAUAAAACAUGUAUCAGCCUGGUCAGUAGCAGUUUAGAGGUUAUUAUGAAAGUAAGAAUUGCCUUUUAAUGUGCAAAUACAAAGAGAUAACAUCCCUGUGCUUUUGGUGAAAACAGAGCAUCCAAAUAGAUGAUGUGCAUGUGUUCUUCACCAUUUUGGGAUAUUGUUUCCAUCAUCUGUGUGAACGUUUUUGUAAAAAUGCAGUUCAUCUUUCAAGGGCUUUCUCAGUGCUUAUCAUAUGUAUCAUAAUUAAUAGCUGAGGGAGGCAGUGAAUAGAGCUUUGUCCUUGUAGACCAAUACAAGUAAAGACAAUGGUAAAAAAGAAAAAAUCAAUAAUGUCACUAGGUCAAGGACACUUGAUAGUGCAGAACCAAUAAAUGCCUUUUGCCCAUAUUUACACUGAGUGCUAAAAAAAAUAAUAAAGAACUUUCAGUAGCUAUAAUAUCUACUCACACAAAAACCCUUUUCUUCCAUAGAUGUGAAAGUUACUGAACGGUACAUAUUUCUUCCAAGAGGCUUCUUCUGUCACUGCAUUUUCAAUCAUGAAGUGCUUUUGCUGCUGAUUUGGCUAUUAUGGGAAGAAAAUGACCUGUUAAAGCUGUUUUGAGGAGCUAACCAUUUUGCAUAUAUUGUAAUAAAAUGUGAACCAUAAAGAGAAGUGGAAAGGAUGAAAUUUAGCAAAACUCAAUACAAGUGUGUUUAUUUUAGGUCUCUCAUAUUACAGUCUUCACAAUCGAGACUAAAAGGGAAAAGAGGGCAUCAAGAUCAGUAUUUUGCAGAUUAAUCAGUGCAGAUUAAUGAGUUCUGCAUGACAAGGUAAAACGUGUACACAGUGGGUCUUUUGUGUUCAAUCUUCCAAACUCAUUAGCUACGUACAAUCUACUCACAUCUUCAGUUAUCCAAAUUCAUCGACUACAGUUCAGCAAGCCCUUGCAAACAUGGAGUUCCACAUCUGAAAGUUUCCUGUGCAAUGCAUUAGAAAGGGCGACUUCAUAUGUGCAAUUGGACCUGUACAUGAAGAACUGAAUGGGAAAGCUUUCAAGAGCUCCAUGUGCACAAGAGGGUCUGUGGCAACUGUCUAUUGUUCCACGUAAAAAAAAGGUGUGAUUCAGUGAAUGAUGGGCCAAAGGGUAUUCAUUGUCCACUCUUGGGCAGUAAGGCAAAAAUUGCCACUCAGACUGGCUGGGGCAACCCAAUCAGAUGGGUGAGGUACAAAUAAUGAAAUUAUUAUUAAUGUCCCUCCAAAUUGGAUUAACCUUCAGGGCGAGGAAAACCUCAGCACUUUGGAACUGCUUUAUCACUUUGAAUAUUUAAG